GACCGGGACAACUCCGAAAGGAGCGCUAAUACCGGAUGUGCCCACCGGAUGACAUCGUUUGGUGAGUAAAUCGAGCAAUCGGCUUUUGGGAGGGGGCUUGCGGCCUAUCAGCUAGAUGGUGGGGGUAAUGGCCUACCAUGGCUACGACGGGUAGCUGGUCUGAGAGGAUGGUCAGCCGGGAUUGGGGACUGAGAUACGGCCCAG
rnacentral:rRNA from 1 species